CACUCUGGGACAAGCCCUGGAAACGGGGUCUAAUACCGGAUACUGACCCGCUUGGGCAUCCAAGCGGUUCGAAAGCUCCGGCGGUGCAGGAUGAGCCCGCGGCCUAUCAGCUUGUUGGUGAGGUAAUGGCUCACCAAGGCGACGACGGGUAGCCGGCCUGAGAGGGCGACCGGCCACACUGGGACUGAGACACGGCCCAGACUCCUACGGGAGGCAGCAGUGGGGAAUAUUGCACAAUGGGCGAAAGCCUGAUGCAGCGACGCCGCGUGAGGGAUGACGGCCUUCGGGUUGUAAACCUCUUUCAGCAGGGAAGAAGCGAAAGUGACGGUACCUGCAGAAGAAGCGCCGGCUAACUACGUGCCAGCAGCCGCGGUAAUACGUAGGGCGCGAGCGUUGUCCGGAAUUAUUGGGCGUAAAGAGCUCGUAGGCGGCUUGUCACGUCGGUUGUGAAAGCCCGGGGCUUAACCCCGGGUCUGCAGUCGAUACGGGCAGGCUAGAGUUCGGUAGGGGAGAUCGGAAUUCCUGGUGUAGCGGUGAAAUGCGCAGAUAUCAGGAGGAACACCGGUGGCGAAGGCGGAUCUCUGGGCCGAUACUGACGCUGAGGAGCGAAAGCGUGGGGAGCGAACAGGAUUAGAUACCCUGGUAGUCCACGCCGUAAACGGUGGGCACUAGGUGUGGGCGACAUUCCACGUCGUCCGUGU
rnacentral:rRNA from 1 species